UAUACAUUAAACACUGUUUUAUUGUUCCUGUCUUUAACUUUUGUUGGAGAUACUUUGUGUUUGAGUUGCAGGUUAAUUGAAAUGGCAGUGGAAUAUGAAGUUGAGCAUCCAAGGAAGGCUUAUGGAUGGGCAGCUAGGGAUACAUCUGGUCUUCUCUCCCCAUUUUUCUUCUCCAGAAGAAAAACAGGAGAAAAGGAUGUGACAUUCAAGGUGUUGUAUUGUGGAUUAUGUCAUUCCGACCUUCACAAGUUGAAGAAUGAAUGGAAUGAUUCAAUUUAUCCACUUGUUCCUGGGCGUGAGAUUGUUGGAGAAGUAACAGAGGUGGGAAACAAAGUAGAAAAGUUUAAGAUUGGAGACAAGGUGGCAGUGGGAUGUUUGGUUGGGUCUUGUUCCUCAUGCCAAAAUUGUGUCAACAAUCUUGAGAAUUACUGCCAACAAGCGAUUCACACAUAUGGUUCCAAGUAUGUGGAUGACAGCAUCACAUAUGGGGGUUUCUCUGACUUCAUGGUUGUAGAUGAGCACUUUGUUGUCAACAUUCCAAAUGGCCUACCUCUUGAUGUUGCUGCACCUCUCCUUUGCGCAGGGAUCACAGUUUAUGCACCUUUGAGAUAUUUUGGCCUUGACAAACCUGGUAUGCACCUCGGAGUGGUUGGUCUUGGUGGAUUAGGCCAUCUAGCUGUGAAGUUUGCAAAAGCCCUUGGCUUGAAAGUUACUGUCAUUAGUACCUCUCCUAGUAAGGAACAAGAAGCCAUUCAACAUCUCGGAGCAGAUUACUUUGUGCUAAGUAGAGACCAAGAUCAAAUGAAGGCUGCAAAUUGUACCUUGGAUGGUAUAAUCGACACUGUUUUUGCGGUUCAUCCUCUAAUGCCUUUGAUUGAUCUUUUGAAGUCUCAUGGAAAGCUAGUGACGGUUGGAGCACCAGAGAAGCCUCUCGAAUUGUUACUUCCAUCUUUAAUUUUGGGGAGAAAAAGUAUAGCGGGUAGUUACU
rnacentral:sRNA from 1 species